GCCCGGUUAGCUCAGUCGGUAGAGCAUUCGGCUUUUACGCGCCUUGUGCGUUGAAUACCGAAAUGUCGGGGGUUCGAGCCCCCCAUUGGGCG
rnacentral:tRNA from 2 species